CUGACACAGGUGCUGCAUGGCUGUCGUCAGCUCGUGUCGUGAGAUGUUGGGUUAAGUCCGUAACGAGCGCAACCCUUGUCCUUAGUUACCAGCACGUUAUGGUGGGCACUCUAAGGAGACUGCCGGUGACAACCGGAGGAAGGCGGGGAUGACGUCAAGUCAUCAUGGCCCUUACGGCCUGGGCUACACACGUGCUACAAUGGUCGGUACAAAGGGUUGCCAAGCCGCGAGGUGGAGCUAAUCCCAUAAAACCGAUCGUAGUCCGGAUCGCAGUCUGCAACUCGACUGCGUGAAGUCGGAAUCGCUAGUAAUCGUGAAUCAGAAUGUCACGGUGAAUACGUUCCCGGGCCUU
rnacentral:rRNA from 1 species